GUGGCCGCUGAGCCUGCGCGUCCGGAGCCUGUGCUCCGCAACGGGAGAGGCUGAGUCAGUGAGAGGCCCGCGUACCGCAAAAAAAAAAAAAAAAAAAAUCACAAGCUGGAUUUAAAAAACCCCUUAUGAAGAAGAACUGACCUUAAUUACAUCCUUUAAAAUGUCUGUUUUCUUCUUGCAGUCUCUUUGAAUGCUCAAUUUGGUCAACAUUCAGAAUAUAGAACACCAGAUUGCAAUCAGUAUGAAUUACCAGGAUGUCCCAGGGACUUUAGCCCUGUGUGUGGAAGCGACAUGUCCACUUAUCCCAAUGAGUGUACUCUGUGUGUGAAAAUCAGGGACGAUGGUCAUGAUAUUAAGGUAAUCCGAAGUGGACCAUGCUGAUGGACCAGAAAGGAAAUUGGAGAAACCACCUUCAACUGCACACUAGAUGAACUUCAUUUUUCCCUUUUCCUCUUUUCCUAUGUUUCUAUGCAUGAGAUUUUUUAACCCAUAUUUUCUGAGAUGAGUUGUGUAAGUGGUCAGUGACUGAUAAAACAACAACAAAAUCCUUGUUUUUUGGCUUUUGUCCCUUGAGUUAAGCUUAUUGCCCAGGUGACCUAUGUAUUGCUUUAUUUGGUUGGAAUAAAAUCAGCAUUGUAUUCAAUUACCACUGUUCCCUGUCGAAUAUCCAUUCUCACUCAGCAGCCUCAUGUGGCUCUUUUCUUCUCAGGCAAAUGUGAAUUUCACUAAGGAAGUAGAGUCAUUUUUGAGAGGGCAAGGUUUAUUCUCCUUCCCCAUUUCCUUAAAUCUUGGAUAUAUAAUGUAUGUGUAACUGGUACAGUGUUCUGCACAGAGCAAAUAAUGUGAGACACUGGAGCUGACUUUAGCCAGAGCUGGUAGAGUCCAAGAAUCAUGCAGGUAAAAAUACAAGAUUCCAUGUCUCUUUUCAAUACAAUUUUACUCCAGGGUUAAUGCAGAAAUUUGCCUUUUCCCUUCUUUUAGAACACUGAUUCUCAACCCUGGGUGAUUUUCCCCCAGGGGACAUUUGCAACUAUGUCUGGAAACAUCUUUGGUGUCACAAGUUGAAAGGUGGGUGCUCCUGACAUAUAGCGGGUAGAAGCCAGGGAUGCUGCCAAAGACAUCCAGCUCCCAACAACCAAGAAAUUUUCAGUCCAAAAUGUCAGUAGUGCUGAGGUUGAGACAUUCUGUCUUAGAAUUUGAUGUAACAUAAAGAAUACACAGAGGGACUUCCCUAGUGGUCCAGUGGCUAAGACUCUGUGCUCCCAACGCAGGGGGCCCAGAUUUGAUUCCUGGUCAGGGAACGAGAUCCCACAUGCUGCAACUGAAAGAUCCCGCACGCUGCAACUAAAGAUCCUGCAUGCCACAACUAAGACCUGGCUCAGCCAAAUAAAUAAAUAAAAUAUUAAAAAAAAAAAAAAGA